rnacentral:rRNA from 1 species
GAUGAACGCUGGCGGCGUGCCUAAUACAUGCAAGUAGAACGCUGAAGGAAGGAGCUUGCUCUUUCCGGAUGAGUUGCGCACGGGUGAGUAACGCGUAGGUAACCUGCCUGGUAGCGGGGGAUAACUAUUGGAAACGAUAGCUAAUACCGCAUAACAGUAUAUGUUGCAUGAUAUCUACUUAAAAGGUGCAAUUGCACCACUACCAGAUGGACCUGCGUUGUAUUAGCUAGUUGGUGAGGUAACGGCUCACCAAGGCGACGAUACAUAGCCGACCUGAGAGGGUGGUCGGCCACAAUGGGACUGAGACACGGCCCAGACUCCUACGGGAGGCAGCAGUAGGGAAUCUUCGGCAAUGGACGGAAGUCUGACCGAGCAACGCCGCGUGAGUGAAGAAGGGUGUCGGAUCGUAAAGAUCUGUUGUAAGAGAAGAAAGAGUGUGAGAGUGGAAAGUUCACACUGUGACGGUAUCUUACCAGAAAGGGACGGCUAACUACGUG